UACAGAGGUCCCAAGCGUUGUUCGGAUUUAUUGGGCGUAAAGGGUGCGUAGGCGGCGGAGUAAGUUGGGUGUGAAAUCCCGGGGCUCAACCUCGGAAUUGCAUUCAAUACUGCUUCGCUUGAGUACUGGAGAGGAGGCUGGAAUUUACGGUGUAGCAGUGAAAUGCGUAGAUAUCGUAAGGAAGGCCGGUGGCGAAAGCGAGCCUCUGGACAGUUACUGACGCUGAUGCACGAAGGCCAGGGGAGCAAACGGG
rnacentral:rRNA from 1 species